rnacentral:tRNA from 1 species
GCACGUGUGGCGGAAUUGGUAGACGCGUACGUUUGAGGGGCGUAUGGGGCGACCCGUGUGAGUUCGAUUCUCAUCUCGUGCACCA